rnacentral:lncRNA from 1 species
UUUCUCGUCAGGAUAGAAAAGAGGGAAGCGACUAUCAUCACUUGUUGUUGUAAGUUUUCGCGUUUCAUUUGAUCAUCGGAGAACAUGAGCAACGUCACCGGUGAUCCCACUGGAGACCUCCCUUCCACCGCCGUCGCACUCCCCGGCUCCACAGCAGUCCAGAGUUCGCCUCCCACUGAUCGUCCCGUCCGCGUCUACGCCGAUGGGAUCUACGAUCUUUUCCACUUCGGCCACGCUCGAUCUCUCGAACAGGCCAAGAAAUCGUCAGUAACCUCUCAUCUCCCUGAGAUAGUUUUUGACUAAUUUCAUUUUAUUUCGGAUGGAUUAGUGUUAUAUUGAUCUGUGAACUCCUGAAUCAGGUUCCUUUGUGUAAGUUGUGCAGAUUGGUCUCGAUGAUAAUUUGAUCUGUGUUGAUGAUUAAUAUUACUGCCAAAUACAUUGAGAUUGUGUAAUUUUGAUAGGUCUCUCUUUGGAAUAGCUCUGAUGUUGUGAUUUUGUAAAUUUGAGAAAUGGUUUUGUGUUUCUUAUUGGUUUUGCCGUUGCUUUAGGUUUCCAAACACUUACCUUCUUGUGGGAUGUUGCAACGAUGAAACCACACACAAGUACAAGGGGAGGACUGUGAUGGCUGCUGAAGAGCGAUAUGAAUCACUUCGGCAUUGCAAGUAUUUGCCUUUUUUUCAUACCUUGUGUUGUUGUAGUGUAAGCAAUGGAAUGGAAGUUUUAGAGAGAAAGUUUGUUUUGUUACGCAGAUGGGUGGAUGAAGUCAUCCCGGAUGCACCGUGGGUGAUCAACCAAGAGUUUCUUGACAAUAACCGGAUUGAUUAUGUAGCCCAUGAUUCCCUUCCGUAAGACCAUGUUUCCUUUUGUCUCUGUCUUGAUUUAGUUUUGGAUUUUUUUGAAGGAUUUUUGUUUUCACCUCUUAUGCUCUUCCUUGUUUGAAUCAACGUUCAGGUAUGCUGACACCAGCGGAGCUGGAAAGGAUGUCUAUGAAUUUGUGAGUCGCAAUAAUACUUCUGCUUUUGAUGUUUUUUUUCUUCUGUGUUUAUGGUUUAACUGUCUUGAUACAGGUUAAGAAAGUUGGGAGGUUUAAGGAGACAAUGCGAACUGAAGGAAUAUCGACCUCGGACAUUAUUAUGAGAAUAGUGAAAGAUUACAACCAGUAUGUCAUGCGUAAUCUGGAUAGAGGAUAUUCGAGGGAAGAUCUUGGAGUUAGCUUUGUCAAGGCAUGCCAUCUUCUUCUUCUUCUUUUUUGCUACCUCUUCAUUUUUCUUGUUUUGCAAUUUUUUUUCACUUUGGAGGAGUCAGCUUUGGGUUUAUUGAUUUUUGCAACAGGAAAAGAGACUUAGAGUUAAUAUGAGGCUAAAGAAACUCCAGGAGAGGGUCAAAGAACAACAAGAAAAAGUGGGAGAAAAGGUACGUCUUCUCUCAACUUCCAUUUGCUUAAUUGUUCAUCAUUGUUCCAUCGUUUUGAUUGUAUUGCAUUCUAUCAAAUAAGCUCUUCAUCAUAAUUUGCAAGGUGAAUAAACUAAAUCUAGGUCUUGUACCCUCUGUACACUAUAGGCAAAGAGCAUUCUUAUCUCUUUUUUCUGGUUUGUGUCUUUUUGUUGUGCAUUAAGAAAUGAUGCUUGUUAAUCCGUUUGUCUUUGAAAGGUCUAAAUAUUACUUCUUUUAUGUGUAGUAGUUGUGCCAGGCGAUAUCAAGUUGUAAAUUAAUUUCAUCCUUAUAGUAGCAGCCUGAUCACUUAUAUCCACUGUGCUUGAAACUUCCAUGCAUUUUAUUUCUUUACCUAGUAACAUGACAUCUUGAAGAUGUCGAUUUGAUAUCCAUUUUUUCUAACUCCUUUGUUAAUGUUUAAACCCGGAUUUUCCAGAUCCAAACCGUAAAAAUGCUGCGCAACGAGUGGGUAGAGAAUGCAGAUCGAUGGGUCGCUGGAUUUCUUGAAAUAUUUGAAGAAGGUUGCCAUAAGAUGGUAAGUUAAAUCUUGAAGACACUAUACAUAACGUUAAUAAUUUAGUACUCAUGUUCUGUAUAAGCUUUGGUUAAAAAUGAAAAAUGCGUAAAAUGUUAUUAGGGAACUGCGAUCAGAGACAGUAUCCAGGAGAGGCUAAUCAAACAAAUUCCCAGAAAGAAGCUGGAGAACGGUCAGGAUGAUGACACAGAUGACCAAUUCUAUGAAGAAUACUUCGACCAUGACAUGGGCAGUGACGAGGAUGAAGAUGAAAAAUACUAUGACGAGGAGGAAGAACUAGAAGAAGAAAAGAAAGAGAAUGCCGUUAAGACGGAUGCAAAAGACAAGUAGUAAGAACUAAGAACAACACUGGCUCUCAGAAACCAAAGCUACUCAUGACCACUUCUACUAAACUACUAUAAUCUCUCACUCUCUAUCAGUAAAAUGCAUCUACUUAACAUAUGAUAUCAAUGUUUAGAAAGUGAGAGUGUGUGUGCUUGUCUUUGGUGAGUUGUCUCAUCGUUGUUGAUUUUUGUAUACAAAUGUUUUCCCUUUCGAUACUUGGUAUCUUCUGUAUCUUUUGUUUCUAUCGUUUUUUUUUCUGUAUAACAGGCAUUCCAACACCCCGGUUGCAGUAACUGCAACAAGAAGCGACCAUCAUCAUUGGCUUACAUUUGAUGCUAAUACUGGGACCAACACAAAGCACACUUGCCAUCUCCAUUCUUUUCGAUAUAUAUAUAUAUAUAUAAUAUUUAUUUAGAUUCAAUUUUCAUUUUUUCUGUAUUAAGUAAUUUUGUUAAAAAAUAUUUUUUUCUUAUUUUACUAUUGGAUUAUUGGUGUCUACAAUUUUGUAAAUGUAAACUUAGAUGUAAAUUACAAAAAAAUACCUAUAUAUUUUCAAAUUAUAAAAAAUUCAUAACUUUAAUUUAAAAUAAAACACACUAUUUUUAAAAUAUAUAUAUAGUAAUUAAUCAUUACUAAUAUUAAUAAAAUAUAUUUACUUAUAAGAUGUUUAAAAUUUAUUUAAUUAUUAAAUUAUUUCAGCCUGUCUCAAUUUAAGUUGGAACAAAAAUUAUAAAUUUUAUAGAGUUUAUAAGAUUACAACAGGAAAAAACAAAAACAAAAAUAAAUAAAACAAAAAUGAUAAAUAAUCAUUUUUCUCGUCAGGAUAGAAAAGAGGGAAGCGACUAUCAUCACUUGUUGUUGUAAGUUUUCGCGUUUCAUUUGAUCAUCGGAGAACAUGAGCAACGUCACCGGUGAUCCCACUGGAGACCUCCCUUCCACCGCCGUCGCACUCCCCGGCUCCACAGCAGUCCAGAGUUCGCCUCCCACUGAUCGUCCCGUCCGCGUCUACGCCGAUGGGAUCUACGAUCUUUUCCACUUCGGCCACGCUCGAUCUCUCGAACAGGCCAAGAAAUC